ensembl:lncRNA
CACUCACACACACACACUCACACACACACUCACACACACUCACACACACUCACACACACUCACACACACUCGGCUCUCUGCACUCACUGACACGUCGAGAGAGACCGCAGUGAGGCUCGGUUCAGAUUCUCACACACACGCUAUUUAUUUCAAUUCAUUUUCCUCACCUCUGUAAAAUGUGUGUGUCCUCCAUUUUUAUUUUAUUUUAUAUGAGCUUGUGUGUGAGAAUGUGUGUUCUCUGUUUAUAGAAAGCAUACUUAUAAAUUAGGUAGGUAUAGUUUUGACUCCUCCCAUCUAAAGCAUUUUUUAUAACUCUCAUUUUGUAUCCAAGUCAUUAUUGCAACCACGGCCAAAAUCUAGGCAAAUUAGUGCACCUUUUGCGUUUUAUAUGGGUUGAGUUGAACUGAUGGACUGUAUUUAUUCCUGAAGAGUUGUUGAGUUUGUGGCUUUUUGAUGUGACUGUGUGACUGACUCAGGAUCAGUUGGGCAUCACCGCUCACUAAGGGAUUGGGAUUUAGUCUGAAGCUUACGUUCUCGCACCGGUAGGAUUGGGGUCUAGUCUGAAGCUUACGUUCUCGCACCGGUAGGAUUGGGGUUUAGUCUAGUCUGAAGCUUACGUUCUCGCACCGGUAGACAUUGGGGUUUAGUCUAAAGCUUUUAUUCUCGCACCGGUAGGAUUGAGGUUUAGUCUGAAGCUCAUGUUCUCACACCGGUAGGAUUGGGGUUUGUUCUCGCACCGGUAGACAUUGGAAUGAGAUUGGGAAGUGGAUGGUGGAUAGGAGACAGGAGGACAUGAGAUGGGUGGAUUAGGAGUCAAGAGUUAGAUGAGUUGUGGAACAACAGCAGAAGGAACGGGACCAGGCCGACGAAUCAACAACAGAGAGGGUUUUAGAGAUGGAGAGAUUUAGAGAGGACAAAAAUACUUCAAGUGUGUGUGUGUGUUAUAUGAGAUAUUGAUGAUAUGAGAGAUAGGGCACAGGAAGUGUAUAUUGUAGUCACACACACACACACACACACACACACACACACACACACACUUGUGGUGCAUGUCAUGUUGUCCUUAGGCAGUCAUACAGGUCACGCCAGCUGGCUAUCACAAUGCUGAAGAGGGCACACCUUGAACCUGUUUAAGUAUUUGGUUGUGAGUGAGUGAGCGAGUUGGGUGAAAAUGUGGGGUUUUUUUAGAUUACUUAGGGAGUGUUUGUCUUAUGGGGGGGGGGGUGCAUCUUAGUUUGGUAUGCUGUUAGAGAGCUGAAUCGUUCCUCUGAACCAGGUAGUAUUUUAUAAAUAGUGAUAUUUUGUGUUAGUUCACCAUGUUCUUUGUUCAUAGGUUUCUUCCUGGAAUUGAUUGUAAUUAUUAUUAUUAUUUUUUUUGUUUGGUUUUUUAAAGAGGUGUACUGUCAGACUUCAGACUCAUAAUCAGGACCAAAGAGGAAGACACACACACACACACACACACACACACACACACACGUACACACGUCAGGGAUGCACAAAACUGAGGGUGACUCACACAUCCGCUGGUAACCCCUCAUGCCUCAGAGAGCCCCCUCGCCCCCCCCCCCCCCGCUGACAGUGCUCAUAGUACUCAUGAAUUGGCUUUCCCUCUCACCCCCAAGAUAAAUCAGCAGCUGCUGAUGACACAAAGUGAUGGUUAUUGUACUGUAAUCUGACACAAAGUGAUGGUUAUUGUACUGUAAUCUGACUGGUCUUCACAGAUGGGUCACGGGUGGAGCAGGUGGAGGUGAUCCUGAGGCCUGUGCUAGUUUGCGUUUGUUUGUUUAUUUGUUUUGAGAAUUCUGUAAACUAUGGAGAUUCUCUGCGGAGAUCCACUGAAGUGGCCAAACUUGAACUGUAUGCCUCCUUCUUUGAGUUUCACUGGCUAGCGCGGGGGGGGAACCAGUCAUGUGAAGACAGUGCUGUUGUUGGAGAUACCAGCUGCCUGAGACACCCCAGAUAACGUUUGACUGCUGCCACAGCAACUGCUCCUGCUGCCUUCUGCCAAAAUAUAUGCAAGGAUGCGUCAGUGGUUGCACAGUAAACCUAGGAUCCACGGCAUGCAUAUUCAAAAUGGAGAACAUUUUCUUCCUCCACGGAUCCUGUCCUAUCCCCUCUCUCCCCCUCUCUCUCUUCUGCGCAAUCAUUGAGCCUCUGUAGAGGCAGUGGCAAAAAGGUCUGUCUGUCUGUCUGUCUGUCUGUCUGUCUGGGACACCUGUCUUGCCUGUUCUUCCAUGGCUCUCUACCUCUGUACCAGUCCUCUUGUCUUCCAUCUCGUACCUGAUGAGAGUCCCACAGGGGCCGUGUUCCUUGCCCCCCCCCCC